UACACAUGCAAGUCGAACGAACUCUUCGGAGUUAGUGGCAGACGGGUGAGUAACGCGUGGGAAUAUACCUUUCGGUACGGAACAACAGUUGGAAACGACUGCUAAUACCGUAUGCGCCCUAUGGGGGAAAGAUUUAUCGCCGAAGGAUUAGCCCGCGUUGGAUUAGCUAGUUGGUGGGGUAAAGGCCUACCAAGGCGACGAUCCAUAGCUGGUCUGAGAGGAUGAUCAGCCACACUGGGACUGAGACACGGCCCAGACUCCUACGGGAGGCAGCAGUGGGGAAUAUUGGACAAUGGGGGCAACCCUGAUCCAGCCAUGCCGCGUGAGUGAUGAAGGCCCUAGGGUUGUAAAGCUCUUUCAGCGAGGAGGAUAAUGACGUUACUCGCAGAAGAAGCCCCGGCUAACUUCGUGCCAGCAGCCGCGGUAAUACGAAGGGGGCUAGCGUUGUUCGGAAUCACUGGGCGUAAAGCGCACGUAGGCGGAUUGGUCAGUUAGGGGUGAAAUCCCAGAGCUCAACUCUGGAACUGCCUUUAAUACUGCCAGUCUUGAGUCCGAGAGAGGUGAGUGGAACUCCGAGUGUAGAGGUGAAAUUCGUAGAUAUUCGGAAGAA
rnacentral:rRNA from 1 species